rfam:Ophiophagus hannah scaffold912.1, whole genome shotgun sequence.
GUUUGGGGCUGGGUCUUUGCGGGCGAGAUGAGAAGUUUCUGCCUUCAACUGGCCUACAAAGUCCCAGUUCUCGGC